rnacentral:pre_miRNA from 1 species
AAAGUACUCCCUCCAUUCAGAAUUACUCGUCCAAGAAAUAAAUGUAUCUAGAUGUAUUUUAGUUGUACAUACAUCCAUUUUUAUCCAUUUUGGUGACAAGUAAUUCCGAACGGAGGGAGUAGUGU